AUUGAACGCUGGCGGCAUGCCUAACACAUGCAAGUCGAACGGAGAUAGGGGCAACCUUAUUUCAGUGGCGGACGGGUGAGGAAUGCGUCGGAAUCUGCCCUAUGGUGGGGGAUAACACAGGGAAACUUGUGCUAAUACCGCAUAAUGUCGAGAGACCAAAGCAGGGGACCGGCAAGGCCUUGCGCGAUAGGAUGAGCCGACGCCCGAUUAGCUUGUUGGUAGGGUAAUGGCCUACCAAGGCGACGAUCGGUAGCUGGUCUGAGAGGAUGAUCAGCCACACUGGGACUGAGACACGGCCCAGACUCCUACGGGAGGCAGCAGUGGGGAAUAUUGGACAAUGGCGGCAAGCCUUGAUCCAGCAAUGCCGCGUGUGUGAAAG
rnacentral:rRNA from 1 species